rnacentral:rRNA from 1 species
UUUGCGUGGGGGCACCCUGACCGCCUGCCGCGUGGGUGAAGAAGGCCUUCGGGUUGUAAAGCCCUUUCGGCGGGGACGAAAUCGCGGGGGUGAGAAGCCUUCGUGGAUGACGGUACUCGCAGAAGAAGCACCGGCUAACUACGUGCCAGCAGCCGCGGUAAUACGUAGGGUGCGAGCGUUAAUCGGAAUUACUGGGCGUAAAGCGUGCGCAGGCGGCCCUUUAAGUCAGGUGUGAAAGCCCUGGGCUUAACCUAGGAAUGGCGCUUGAAACUGGGGGGCUAGAGUGCGGCAGAGGGGGGUGGAAUUCCUGGUGUAGCGGUGAAAUGCGUAGAGAUCAGGAGGAACACCGAUGGCGAAGGCAGCCCCCUGGGUCGACACUGACGCUCAGGCACGAAA